rnacentral:RNase_P_RNA from 2 species
CAACCACGGCCUCGAACCGGGUGGGUUCGGCAACGACCCACCUGAGGAAACUCCCCCCAAAGCCGUGGAUCCCCGCGGGGCAACCCGCCGACCGAGAGGUCGCAGGGGAUGGUGGCCCAAGUAGGGACCUGUGAUCUCCACGGGUGAGGUCCGGGUAGGGCCUUAGAGCAAUGCUACAGAAGGGGGGUUAUGCCGUGGUUG